rnacentral:rRNA from 1 species
UGCCUCAGACAUGCAAGUCGAACGCGCAAGUUCCCUUCGGGGGGCGAGUAGAGUGGCGCACGGGUGAGUAACACGUAGGUAAUCUACCUUUGGAUUGGGAAUAACAACCGGAAACGGUUGCUAAUACCGAAUAAUGCAGCGGCACCUAAUGGUGACAGUUGUUAAAGCGGGGGAUCGAAAGACCUCGCGUCUGAAGAGGAGCCUGCGGCAGAUUAGCUAGUUGGUAAGGUAACGGCUUACCAAGGCGAUGAUCUGUAGCCGGCCUGAGAGGGCGGUCGGCCACACUGACACUGACAUACGGGUCAGACUCCUACGGGAGGCAGCAGUCGGGAAUUUUGGGCAAUGGGCGCAAGCCUGACCCAGCAACGCCGCGUGAAGGAUGAAAUCCUUCGGGAUGUAUUCUUC